GCAUCCGUAGCUCAAUGGUAGAGCAGUUGACUCUUAAUCAAUUGGUUGUAGGUUCGAGUCCUACCGGGUGCA
rnacentral:tRNA from 1 species